rnacentral:rRNA from 1 species
GAUGAACGCUAGCUACAGGCUUAACACAUGCAAGUCGAGGGGUAACGAGAGGAAAGCUUGCUUUCCUUGUCGACGACCGGCGCACGGGUGAGUAACGCGUAUCCAACCUGCCCCCAACUAGGGAAUAACCUUGCGAAAGUAAGACUAAUACCCUAUAAUUUCCUCAGAUGACAUCUGACGAGGAAUAAAGAUUUAUCGGUUGUGGAUGGGGAUGCGUCUGAUUAGCUUGUUGGCGGGGUAACGGCCCACCAAGGCAACGAUCAGUAGGGGUUCUUAGAGGAAAGUCCCCCACAUUGGAACUGAGACACGGGCCAAACUCCUACGGGAGGCAGCAGUGAGGGAAAUUGGUCCAUUGGCGGAAGGUUGAACCAGCCAAGUAGCGUGCAUGAUGACGGCCCUAUGGGUUGUAAACUGCUUUUAUACAGGAAUAAAGUUAGCCACGUUUGGUUAUUUGUAGGUACUGUAUGAAUAAGGACCGGCUAAUUCCGUGCCAGCCGCCGCAGUAA